rnacentral:rRNA from 1 species
GCAGUCUGCAACUCGACUGCAUGAAGCUGGAAUCGCUAGUAAUCGCGGAUCAGAAUGCCGCGGUGAAUACGUUCCCGGGUCUUGUACACACCGCCCGUCACACCAUGGGAGUCAGUAACGCCCGAAGUCAGUGACCGAACCGAGAGGACGGAGCUGCCGAAGGCGGGACGGAUAACUGGGGUGAAGUCGUAACAAGGUAUC